AGUACAUAAUUCAAGGGAACAAAAUAAAAUACAUAAAAAAAUGGUUAUAAUAAUAAAAAUAAUUAAGUUUUCGUAAAAAAAAAAACAAUAAACAUCAAAAUAUGGCAACGACAAGUAGCAAAAAUUAACGUUAAAAAAUGUGAAAAUGGUGUUGAUGUGAAAAAGUGAAAUGAAAAACAUAAGCAAGAUUGUCGUAGCACACGAGGUUGAAUUGAGUGAUAAAUAAAGCAGGAGCAAGUUUGUACAAGAAAAAUGAUACCUCUAAAAUAAAAAUAAAUAAAAACAAAAAGCAAUUGGAUAAAAAAACUCAAACUUUUAAUAUUUUCUCAAGAAUAAGUUCAAUUUUUUAUUUAAAAAAUAAGGUUAAUUUUAUUGAUAUAAUAAAUUAUUUGAACACUCUUCAUCUAAAAUAUUUUUUC
rnacentral:lncRNA from 1 species